rnacentral:rRNA from 1 species
UACGGGGGGGGCAAGCGUUGUUCGGAAUUACUGGGCGUAAAGGGCUCGUAGGCGGCCAACUAAGUCGGAUGUGAAAUCCCCAGGCUUAACCUGGGAACUGCAUCCGAUACUGGAUGGCUUGAAUUCGGGAGAGGGAUGCGGAAUUCCGGGUGUAGCGGUGAAAUGCGUAGAUAUCUGGAGGAACACCGGUGGCGAAGGCGGCAUCCUGGACCGAUAUUGACGCUGAGGCGCGAAAGCCAGGGGAGCAAACGGG